AAUACCAUCUGUGUGGGGAACUAAUAUUACAAUUUUACAUCAUUCUGAGGCAAGGGAUAGCUGGUCUUAACAGUAUCUGAAUGUAGCCUAUGCAUGUGAGUUGAUAAAUCGACAGCAUGUUGAACAGGUUGAUAGAUACAUCCCAGCACUGAACACAGAAGGCUACAACAGCAGUGACCGUCCCACAGACAGCACAGGCACAGUCUCAGAAUGGUUCUGUAAUGGCGCCCUCCUCAGGACGAAAGAAGAUUUUCAAUUCCGGUUGAUCAAAACUGCACAGAAUUCAAACUAACAAGUUGACUGUGAUUUUGUUUUGGAGUUUGUUGAACAACCAUCCAUCUGUGUGAAACCUCAAGAUGAGCAACGAAUCGUCAGAGAGCCAUGUGGACGUUACUAUUUAGAGGCUGAAAAUAAAAUAUCUGGAGAGGAAACGGGUUAGUUUGCCUGCUUAGCUGUAUUAUUUAGCUAGCAGGAUCACUCGUUACCAAGGGAACAAGCGCAACUAGCGAGCUAGCUAUCUAGUUAUAUGAACAUACUACUAGGUUUUGCACGUACAUGCAGUGACUGAACAUGCUAUAGCUAACUAUGAAGCUAACUAUUGGCAUAUGAUCGCUAGGUCUCUACAGUGGAAGACACUAACAUGUUGAGCAGCAGAGAGUGGUGAAGUCCCCCAGGUCUAGACGAACCACCACUAGGAAGAUGAUAGGUUACAACGGAGCUGUUCCAGACUGUCACCAACCCAGGGGGGAGAGAGGUGAGGCAGCAGCUGUCAUCCCCUGUCCUCUCUUCCUCCUGCCCCUCAGUGAUGGGAAAGUACUACCAGGAGAUGCUGCACAUUUACGAACAACUACAGGCAUAGCGUUUGAGCUAGCAACAGUUGUCGGUCCAGCUCCAGGACAGAAAACAGACCGCUAGAGCAUGAGGAGGGUCACGGCCCCGAUUUUGGAUACCACUGCCCCAACCAUACAUAAUGAUGAUGAUGAUGAUGAUGAUGACAAUGAGUGUUUCUGGUUGUCUCAUUCUGCAUGGCAGUGUAAGCCCUGCCCCUCUCAGGCUGCUGGCAUUGCUAUUGGACUGAGUUCUAGACGGACAGGCAUUUUCUCCAGUAGCAAGAGACCGCUGCACAGCCCAGCAGCACACGUCUCCAGCUGUCUCUCUCGACGGGUGCUCUAAGGUGUUGCCUCCGUUGGUAGAGCAGCUGCAGCAGGUCUCUGCAUCAUCAGACCCCUCUGUCACCCUGUCCCUGAUCAAGUUUAUAUACUGGAGCCUGAGAGAGAGAGACAACAGCACACAGCCCGUGGCUCUGUCGUCCACUCUGCGGCGUCUGGUGAAGAGGUAUCCAGGGCUCCGACCCAGCAGCAGGACCCCAGCGGCCCCCUGAAGACCAGGACCCUCCCACCGUGUUGUGGUUUUCUUUUGGGAAUGAAUACAGGUUUAUAAUAUACAGUUUUUUGUGUGACUAUAUAACUCAUACUGUAGUACUGUGCUCUCUAUGGGGAGCCGUGCAGGUUUCCAUUAAUCAAUCAACCAACCAAUCACUUUUUAUUUGUAUCAUGCUUUUCAAAAAUACAUUGGUAAGCAAGUUUAUAGCAGCAACCCAGACCUAAACCCCACAGUGCAAGCUCUCUGCCAGGUUGGCUCAGUUCUAUGUCUGAAUUGACAUGAAAUUGGUUUGUUCAUAUUGGAAGAAUAUUUCUUCGAAAUGAUGUUACCAUGUCAGACAACGGUAUCUGGCCUAAAAGCUUUUAACUGACUAUAGAAACAUUUCUGAACGAAUAAAAAAACUGUCUGCAUCAGAGCCAAAAAAUCUCUCGCCACAUUUGCUUACAAAGUUUUCUGGAAACCCAGACCCCUAAAUUGGUUUGGACCAGAGAGAGAGAGACAGGCAGGCUUUGGGUCAGGGGGUUUCUGGUGUACCCUGGUGUAACCCUGCAGCCCAGUCCCCCACCCCCCUGGCCAAGCCAGUCACAGACUGCACAGUGCUGUGUGUCUGGAGAGCAUCAGUGACACAGGCCUCAUAAACAUGUCUUCUCCGUAACCGUGGCCCAGUUUCCCAAAAGCAUCUUAAGGCUAAGUUCAUCCUUUGUUUCUGAAGUUGCACUUGACAGCUCUUGUUAUUUACCAACUGCUCAGACCACUCCUAGAUCCGCUAAGUGCAUCGUUAGAUCUAUUUCCCCUACUGGGUCACUAUACGUCCACUAAACAUACGCUGAACCAAAAUAUAAACGCAACAUGCAACAAUUUCAAAGAUUUUACUGCGUUACAAUUCA